CCGGCACGGGUGAGUAACACGUAUCCAACCUGCCGUCUACUCUUGGGCAGCCUUCUGAAAGGAAGAUUAAUCCAGGAUGGCAUCAUGAGUUCACAUGUCCGCAUGAUUAAAGGUAUUUUCCGGUAGACGAUGGGGAUGCGUUCCAUUAGAUAGUAGGCGGGGUAACGGCCCACCUAGUCAACGAUGGAUAGGGGUUCUGAGAGGAAGGUCCCCCACAUUGGAACUGAGACACGGUCCAA
rnacentral:rRNA from 1 species